UACAGAGGGUGCGAGCGUUAAUCGGAAUUACUGGGCGUAAAGCGCGCGUAGGCGGCUUUGCAAGUCGGGUGUGAAAUCCCCAGGCUUAACCUGGGAACUGCAUUCGAGACUGCAUUGCUAGAGUAUGGGAGAGGGAAGUGGAAUUUCCGGUGUAGCGGUGAAAUGCGUAGAUAUCGGAAGGAACAUCAGUGGCGAAAGCGACUUCCUGGACCAAUACUGACGCUCAUGUGCGAAAGCGUGGGGAGCAAACGGG
rnacentral:rRNA from 1 species